rnacentral:rRNA from 1 species
GAAGACCCCAUGGAGCUUUAAACCCAAUUAUAUCUCUAACCACUAUAACCAUUUAACCGCUUAGAACUUAUAUACUUGGUUUUAGGUUGGGGCGACCACGGAGCACAACCAAACCUCCACGAUGAACGGAACAACCCCCUUAUCUGAGAAUUACACUUCUAAGAAUUAGCACACUAACAUAAAAUGACCCAUUAUUGAUCAACGAACCAAGUUACCCUGGGGAUAACAGCGCAAUCCAUUUUAAGAGCCCCUAUCGACAAAU